UAUUGCCGUUUCAAUUCUCCAGCACUAGUACAAAUGGAGUCACAGUUUUAACGUGAAAUCCAAAUAAAUGACAACUUCUGGAUGUGCUUCCCGGGAAUUGGAGACACGUGACAAUGACGUUAACUCAGUUAGCAACGAUCUCCCGCGAAACGCACACGAGGAAAGAAAAGCACAAAACAGGUUUGGAGCAACAAGGGUAUUGCAUAAAUGUGUAGCUGUGACAAUUCUAUACCAAGAAUGACAAGCACGGGCUUCAAGAGCAAUUAAUCAGCAAAUACAAAGAAUCAGAAUACAUCAAGAUUGGCAAAACUAAGUCAACAUCACCAAGAUUGCUUUAACAGAGCAACUGAACUGGACUCAAAAAGACUCCAUACAGCAAUCACAGGAAGUUUGCA